AGCGAACGCUGGCGGCAGGCCUAACACAUGCAAGUCGAACGAACCUUUCGGGGUUAGUGGCGGACGGGUGAGUAACACGUGGGAACGUGCCUUUAGGCUCGGAAUAACUCAGGGAAACUUGUGCUAAUACCGAAUGUGCCCUUCGGGGGAAAGAUUAAUCGCCUUUAGAGCGGCCCGCGUCCGAUUAGCUAGUUGGUUGAGGUAAUGGCUCACCAAGGCGACGAUCAGUAGCUGGUCUGAGAGGAUGAUCAGCCACAUUGGGACUGAGACACGGCCCAAACUCCUACGGGAGGCAGCAGUGGGGAAUCUUGCGCAAUGGGCGAAAGCCUGACGCAGCCAUGCCGCGUGAAUGAUGAAGGUCUUAGGAUUGUAAAAUUCUUUCACCGGGGACGAUAAUGACGGUACCCGGAGAAGAAGCCCCGGCUAACUUCGUG
rnacentral:rRNA from 1 species